rnacentral:rRNA from 1 species
GACGAACGCUGGCGGCGUGCCUAAUACAUGCAAGUGGGACGCAAGGAAACACACUGUGCUUGCACACCGUGUUUUCUUGAGUCGCGAACGGGUGAGUAACGCGUAGGUAACCUGCCUAUUAGCGGGGGAUAACUAUUGGAAACGAUAGCUAAUACCGCAUAAUAUUAAUUAUUGCAUGAUAAUUGAUUGAAAGAUGCAAGCGCAUCACUAGUAGAUGGACCUGCGUUGUAUUAGCUAGUUGGUAAGGUAAGAGCUUACCAAGGCGACGAUACAUAGCCGACCUGAGAGGGUGAUCGGCCACACUGGGACUGAGAUACGGCCCAGACUCCUACGGGAGGCAGCAGUAGGGAAUCUUCGGCAAUGGACGAAAGUCUGACCGAGCAACGCCGCGUGAGUGAAGAAGGUUUUCGGAUCGUAAAGCUCUGUUGUAAGUCAAGAACGUGUGUGAGAGUGGAAAGUUCACACAGUGACGGUAGCUUACCAGAAAGAGACGGCUAACUACGUG